rnacentral:rRNA from 1 species
UACCAGCACCCCGAGUGGUCGGGACGAUUAUUGGGCCUAAAGCAUCCGUAGCCGGUUCUACAAGUCUUCCGUUAAAUCCACCUGCUUAACAGAUGGGCUGCGGAGGAUACUAUGGAGCUAGGAGGCGGGAGAGGCAAGCGGUACUUAGUGGGUAGGGGUAAAAUCCGUUGAUCCAUUGAAGACCACUAGUGGCGAAGGCGGCUUGCCAGAACGCACUCGACGGUGAGGGAUGAAAGCUGGGGGAGCAAACCGG